GUUCUCUCUGAACAAGGACUGCCCUUGAUUUAAAAAACUUCAGAAAGAAGAGCAAGAUCAAACCCUCUUGUGUGCCUUCUGCCUAUGAUAAAGGUCAUAGGCAAUACUGUGCAUGAAAUGGCAGAUUCAGCUUAUAUAUAUAUAUACCCACACGUGCAUGCUGGCUAAGUCGCUUCCAUCUGGUCUGAUUCUUUGUGACCCUAUGGACUGUAGCCCGCCAGGCUCCUCUGUCCAUGGGAUUCUCCAGGCCAGAAUACUGGAGUGGGUAGCAAUUCCCUUCUCCAGGAGAUCUUUCUGACUCAGGGAUUGAACCCA